UACGUAGGGUGCGAGCGUUAAUCGGAAUUACUGGGCAUAAAGCGCACGUAGGUGGUCCGCUAAGUCGCGUGUGAAAUCCCUCGGCUCAACCGAGGAAUUGCGGGCGAUACUGGCGGGCUAGAGAUCGGGAGGGGUGAGUGGAACUCCAGGUGGAGCGGUGAAAUGCGUAGAUAUCUGGAGGAAUACCGGUGGCGAAGGCGGCAUCCUGGACCGGCAUUGACGCUGAUGAGCGAAAGCUAGGGGAGCAAACGGG
rnacentral:rRNA from 1 species